rnacentral:rRNA from 1 species
AGUGAACGCUGGCGGUAGGCCUAACACAUGCAAGUCGAACGGCAGCACAGUAAGAGCUUGCUCUUACGGGUGGCGAGUGGCGGACGGGUGAGGAAUACAUCGGAAUCUACUUUUUCGUGGGGGAUAACGUAGGGAAACUUACGCUAAUACCGCAUACGACCUACGGGUGAAAGCAGGGGAUCUUCGGACCUUGCGCGAUUGAAUGAGCCGAUGUCGGAUUAGCUAGUUGGCGGGGUAAAGGCCCACCAAGGCGACGAUCCGUAGCUGGUCUGAGAGGAUGAUCAGCCACACUGGAACUGAGACACGGUCCAGACUCCUACGGGAGGCAGCAGUGGGGAAUAUUGGGCAAUGGGCGCAGGCCUGAUCCAGCCAUACCGCGUGGGUGAAGAAGGCCUUCGGGUUGUAAAACCCUUUUGUUGGGAAAGAAAAGCAGCAGGUUAAUACCCCGCUGUUCUGACGGUACCCAAAGAAUAAGCACCGGCUAACUUCGUG